AGAGUUUGAUCCUGGCUCAGAGCGAACGCUGGCGGAAUGCUUAACACAUGCAAGUCGCACGCCCCGGCAACGGGGAGUGGCGGACGGGUGAGGAACGCGUAGGAACAUGUCCAGAGGUGGGGGACAACCCUGGGAAACCGGGGCUAAUACCGCAUACGGCCCGAGGGCCAAAGCCGAAAGGCGCCUUUGGAGUGGCCUGCGUCCGAUUAGCUUGUUGGCGGGGUAACGGCCCACCAAGGCUCCGAUCGGUAGCUGGUCUGAGAGGAUGAUCAGCCACACUGGGACUGAGACACGGCCCAGACUCCUACGGGAGGCAGCAGUGGGGAAUAUUGGGCAAUGGGCGCAAGCCUGACCCAGCAAUUCCGCGUGGGUGAAGAAGGUCUUCGGAUUGUAAAGCCCUUUCGGCGGGGACGAUGGUGACGGUACCCGCAGAAGAAGCCCCGGCUAACUUCGUGCCAGCAGCCGCGGUAAUACGAAGGGGGCUAGCGUUGCUCGGAAUCAUUGGGCGUAAAGGGCGCGUAGGCGGCGCAGCUAGUCAGGCGUGAAACCCCCGGGCUCAACCCGGGGACUGCGUUUGAUACGGCUGUGCUAGAGGAUGGAAGAGGGCCGCGGAAUUCCCAGUGUAGAGGUGAAAUUCGUAGAUAUUGGGAAGAACACCGGUGGCGAAGGCGGCGGCCUGGUCCAUUACUGACGCUGAGGCGCGACAGCGUGGGGAGCAAACAGGAUUAGAUACCCUUGUAGUCC
rnacentral:rRNA from 1 species